CCUACGGGAGGCAGCAGUGAGGAAUAUUGGUCAAUGGGCGCAAGUCUGAACCAGCCAUGCCGCGUGCAGGAAGACGGCUCUAUGUGUUGUAAACUGCAUUUGUACGAGGGUAAACGCCGAUACGCGUCUCUGUCUCCACGUCUCGUUCGAAUAAGGAUCGGCUAACUCCGUGCCAGCAGCCGCGGUAAUACGGAGGAGUCAAGCGUUAUCCGGAUUUAUUGGGUUUAAAGGGUGCGUAGGUUGGUUUAUAAGUUAGCGGUGAAAUCCCGAUGCUCAACAUCGGGGCUGCCGCUGAUACUGUAGGACUAGAGUUCGGAUGAGGCAGGCGGAAUGUGUAGUGUAGCGGUGAAAUGCAUAGAUAUUACACAGAACACCGAUUGCGAAGGCAGCUUGCUAGGCCGGAACUGACGCUGAGGCACGAAAGCGUGGGGAUCGAACAGGAUUAGAUACCCCAGUAGUC
rnacentral:rRNA from 1 species